rnacentral:lncRNA from 1 species
UUCUUUCUGUAGCCUUUCCACGAAGGUGGCAAUUUUGCAAUGAUUACACCGACUUGAAAGGUCUCAGGGAUGUCUAUUUUCACUGCUUUUAUUUUAUUCACGAGGACUUGAAACUCAUGCACUUGGGGAAGAAUGGGCUUGCAGUCUAUAAAUUUAAAAUCAAAAUAUUUAGAAAUUAAAAACUUCUUUGUACCUUCCUCUUCGGCCUUGAACUUGAAUUCGAGCACUUUCCAGAUUUCUGUUGCAGAUGGAUUAUCCAUAUAGAGGUCGUAGAGACGAU